AGUGAACGCUGGCGGUAGGCCUAACACAUGCAAGUCGAACGGCAGCACAGUAAGAGCUUGCUCUUACGGGUGGCGAGUGGCGGACGGGUGAGGAAUACAUCGGAAUCUACUUUUUCGUGGGGGAUAACGUAGGGAAACUUACGCUAAUACCGCAUACGACCUACGGGUGAAAGCAGGGGAUCUUCGGACCUUGCGCGAUUGAAUGAGCCGAUGUCGGAUUAGCUAGUUGGCGGGGUAAAGGCCCACCAAGGCGACGAUCCGUAGCUGGUCUGAGAGGAUGAUCAGCCACACUGGAACUGAGACGCGGUCCAGACUCCUACGGGAGGCAGCAGUGGGGAAUAUUGGACAAAGGGCGCAAGCCUGAUCCAGCCAUGCCGCGUGGGUGAAGAAGGCCUUCGGGUUGUAAAGCCCUUUUGUUGGGAAAGAAAAGCAGCAGGUUAAUACCCCGCUGUUCUGACGGUACCCAAAGAAUAAGCACCGGCUAACUUCGUG
rnacentral:rRNA from 1 species